UACGGGGGGGGCAAGCGUUGUUCGGAAUUACUGGGCGUAAAGGGCGCGUAGGCGGUUUGCGAAGUUGGAUGUGAAAACUCUGGGCUUAACCCAGAGCCUGCAUCCAAAACUGGCAAACUUGAGUACUGGAGGGGAAAGCGGAAUUCCUGGUGUAGCGGUGAAAUGCGUAGAUAUCAGGAGGAACACCGGUGGCGAAGGCGGCUUUCUGGACAGUAACUGACGCUGAGGAGCGAAAGCGUGGGGAGCAAACAGG
rnacentral:rRNA from 1 species